UGCGAGGAGUGUGCAUGGGAGAAAUUCCACAAACUUUCACUUUUUGCUGAUGUCAUAAUCUCUGGACCCAAAGGUAGAGGAAUCAGCAUGGUUUGGAUAUGGGUGAGAUGGGGUUGAGCCCUGAAAAUUGUGGAGACUUUCCAUGGUCUCAGCCUCUAAACACAACUCACAGGAAAAGUCUGGAUUGGGCAGUGGUGAUGUCCAUACUCAGAGAAUUUCUACUGGGUGCCAUACAGGGCACAGGAUUCAAGUGUGGCCGGGACAAAUCACUGACCUUCUCUGGCCUUCCCAGGAAGAUAGACCUGAAAAUCCACACUAACAGGUCUAAGCUUUGAACUCCCAGAGGGAAGAGGCUGUGGCUGCUACUGCCUGGGUGUCCCCAACCCAGCCUCUGGGCAGUGCAGUGCUGUCACUUGGAGCUCAAUAAACAUUUGGCAGUUGUCAAGUCUCAUCUUUCUUCCCUGAGAGAAAAAGGGCCUAUGCUGGGAAAAGCACAUG